UAGGGAAUCUUCGGCAAUGGGCGAAAGCCUGACCGAGCGACGCCGCGUGGGGGAAGACGGUCUUCGGAUUGUAAACCCCUGUCUUCCGGGACGAGGCAGGACGGUACCGGAGGAGGAAGCCCCGGCGAACUACGUGCCAGCAGCCGCGGUAAUACGUAGGGGGCGAGCGUUGUCCGGAAUCACUGGGCGUAAAGGGUGCGUAGGCGGUUGGCUAAGUCUCGUGGGAAAGGCCCCGGCUUAACUGGGGAAACCCGCGAGAGACUGGCGAGCUGGAGGGCCGGAGAGGGUAGUGGAAUUCCCGGUGUAGCGGUGAAAUGCGUAGAGAUCGGGAGGAACACCAGUGGCGAAGGCGGCUACCUGGACGGUACCUGACGCUGAGGCACGAAAGCUGGGGGAGCAAACAGG
rnacentral:rRNA from 1 species